rnacentral:rRNA from 1 species
ACGAACGCUGGCGGCGUGCUUAACACAUGCCAGUCGAACGGAAAGGCCCUGCUUGCAGGGUGCUCGAGUGGCGAACGGGUGAGUAACACGUGGGUGAUCUGCCCCUUACUUUGGGAUAAGCCUGGGAAACUGGGUCUAAUACUGGAUAGGACCAUGCUGUAGGUGGUGUGGUGGAAAGAUUAGUUUCGGUAAGGGAUGAGCUCGCGGCCUAUCAGCUUGUUGGUGGGGUAAUGGCCGACCAAGGCGUCGACGGGUAGCCGGCCUGAGAGGGUGGACGGCCACAUUGAGACUGAGAUGCGACCCAGACGCCGACGGGAGGCAGCAGUGGGGAAUAUUGCACAAUGGGCGCAAGCCUGAUGCAGCGACGCCGCGUGGGUGAUGACGGCCUUCGGGUUGUAAACUCCUUGCAGCCAUGACGAAGCCCUUGUGGUGACGGUAGUGGUAGAAGAAGCACCGGCUAACUACGUG